AACAGAUUCAUCAGGGUUUCUUGAGGACACUUCUAUUUAUAUAAUUGCAGAGGAUUUUUCUAAACUUUAAUGACUUAAAAUCUUGCCAUUUUUCAGUCUUUAAUACAGUACUCUCAGCAGCCGGCCUUGUCAUUUUUUUCCUUGUUAUUUCUGUGCUACUUAGGCAUGUUGGACACGGCAAAUUAAAAUUGGCAAUCUAUCAAUGUUGAAAAUCUCCUUCAGCUACUGUUAGGU
rnacentral:misc_RNA from 1 species